AACCUACCCGCUACCCAGUCACCCUCACCCUCCUCGCGAAGACGCGAAACCACUCCCCCCCCCCUUUUGCGUUCUCUCCGUCUCUUUGCACCCAGCCAGCCACCUCCGAACACCUCCCUCGCGGCCUCGCCACUAUCCGUUUCAGCCGUUCCACUCACCGCGUCAUCACCGCACCGUGCCGUUCCCCCUCUUUCUUCGCCAACGUUGCUGCUUCGUUGAGUCCGUUCAACUCCUGCACCGCCGCCGUCUUGCAUUGUUACUCCGCGGCUCUACUCUUCUUUUCACCUGCGUCUCUCACCUCUUCGGCCGUUUCUCCCUUAUCCCUGUUUUAACUCAACUCCUAGUGAAAAUAAUAAUGAGAUAGAACCAACUCAAGGUGAUGAGGGUUAAGCAAUUGAAGCACAUCUCCAAGAAACACAAGAGGAAGGACAAGAAGAAACAAAAGAGGGAGGACAAGAAGUUAGCCAAAGCAUGCAAUAAUGUUUUGUAGUUUGUAUUUUGAUUUUUUUUUACUAUAAUUUUCAUAUAAAUGUUAAACAUAGGGAGAUGGGGAAUGGGGCCCCGCGGAGAACACGGGGAAUGCGGGAAACGGGGAUGGGGACAAUUAUCCCCCCAUGGCGGGGAUCGGGGCGGGGACGGGGAUUAAUUCUGGGGGCGGGGACGGGGAGCAGGGAGGCAUCCCCCGCCCCGCCCCGCCCCAUUGACAUCCCUACGUGCGUUUCACUUCAACCCGUCCCCUCCUCUUCCUUCUUGAAAACCCUAAAUCCCAUCCUCCUCUUCGUUCUCUCCUCGAUGACCCACUCCAUUCUUGUGGUCGAUAUCAUCGCUUGCUAUUGACGCUUCGUUUGCUUCUCUCACCGAGUAGUUUGAUGCCCCAGUUCCCGAAGAACAUCUCUCUAAACCCCGAUUUGAAAACCCUAACCAACCGAGCUAGGCGGAUUAUUCGUCUAGGAGAACGGUUCUGGCGUUGGCGACGGCGAUGGUGAGUUUCAGCCGGGGAGAUGCUCGCGAUGAUGAUUGACUACGAUCUCUGUAAUACGCUUAGGGAAGUGAACAGCUUUGGUGAUACAUGUUCGGUUGCGAUCUCAACCGUCGCUAUCCUCGUGCAAGUAUUCUGCUGAUCUCUUUGUUUGUCUGGUUCUGUAUGUUUAAAGUCGGUGAUUUAGGGUUUCCUUUGUGGGUUGGUGGUCUUUGAUUUGGGGUUUGGUCAAGGAGGGUUCAGCUGUAACUCUCUGUCGCCACCCCUCUCUCUACUUGAAACCCUAACUGUUUCUUCGUUGUUGGAACCACUAAAACGAGGUAUUCACAAACGGAACCUGAUCGAAAGGGCCGAAACCAGAUCAAGCUGAGGAUUCUCAUAGCAGUGAGAUCCAAAAUCCUGUGAGUCACGCAAUCCAAUGUGCUCGAAGCCUACACCCGCCUCCGAAAAGUCGCGAAUGCGUUGAUAUAGGAGUUUUGAAAUUGGGAAUCUGCUUGGGCUAUAGAUGCUUGUCUGAUAGAGAGUUUGCUUCAAAUGGGAAAUUUCUGGAGAAAUUGAAAGGAGCUGGUUUGUUUCUUAUAAAACUAUUUGGUGUUCUUGCGGUAUCACCAGCCAUGACUGCAGCAGCUUCAGGAGAAAUCGCUCGAACUGUUGUCGGCAUCUUAGAAAACAAUUUCUGCCUUCCUGUUCUUGUCCCCAGUAGAGAUCCAAAAUCUUGAGUCAUGCAAUCUAAUGUGCUCGAAGCCUACACCAGCCUUCAAAAAAGUCUUGAAUUACCUGUUCUUCAAUUGUGCAGCAGUUUUUGGGUUCAAAGAUAACAUACCUUUGGGCGUGAUGGAUGAUGAUUUGCUUUUGAUGGUCCGCUCUGGUUUUGCAGUGGCGGCGGUGCCAGUGCUAGGCAGCAUGAUUCGGUUAGAGAUGAGUGAAUAAAUGCAGCGGCAUACGGGGAGCAAAUUGAUAGGAUUGCCAGCUUACUGAUUCUCAGCUCUUGGCUUGGGAGAAAAGGCUUUUUGGGCAAGUUAAGUUAUACUACUACUAGCUUAUUUUUAUAUGAAAUUUAAGGCAUUAAAUAUUUAUAUUUUGGUGUGUCGUAUGCUAUUUGGUGAUGUUUGUGUGUUGUCAGGUUUGCUGGGGACUAAGAAAGGAAUGAGUGUCUUCAAAGACAAUGAGAAAGAUGGGAAGUGAAAAGGUGUCAAAAGACCCUAAGGUGUCAAAAGACCCUAAUAAACCAAAGAGGCAAUUUAUGGUUUCUUCGUUUAGUGCGAAAGGGCCAAAUGUUAAUAGCCCAAAUGGAAUAAAAAGCAUUCAGCAAAGAAUAUUGGGCUGAAAGCAAAAUAUAGAGCCCAAGCAAAAUCAAAGGAAGAAACCAAAGAAAUUAAAUCGGGCCAUACAUACUAAUACCCAAUCCAAGCCCGAACCGGUUUCAGAAUUGAAAUUUCCUCUCUCCUGCUUAACCAAAAGCAACGUUCUUCUUUCUUCUAAUCAAGUCACAUCAAGAUUUCAGAAAAAGCAAGAAAGAGAAAGAGAAGAAAAGCUUCUUCCAUAAGCCAUUAACCAAAGAAGCAAGAGAGAGAGAGUUGAAGCUUGAAGCACAGAAGCUAAAACAGAAAUCCCAAGCUAAAUCAAGCUUAAGAAAGGUAAUCCAUCUCAUCUUGCAUGCAUCAAAUCUUCAUCCCUUCUUUCCAACUCUCUGCACUACCCGAAAAUGGCUUUGAAGGAAAAGUUGGUCUCUGCCCUAUUCUGCUUCACAUCUACGGUCACAAGUGAUACUUGGGGACCAAGUAGUUUAUCAAUGGCUAAGAUCAAGUUGACCACAAGAAGAGUUCUAUUGUUACUGUUUUGUGGCUUUCGGUCAAGUUGGAAGAGUCAGAAGCAAAGGUUCUACUUUGAUGUUUGAGAAGAAAAAGUAAGCUUGUGGGUUGGUGAAGCUCAAGGCUCAAGGUGUUGACCUUGGAAGAAGAACUCAGCCACAUACAAGGAGAUAUAAGAAGUUUGCUGUUCAUUCAGAAACCAAGGAGAGAAAACCAGUGAAUAGAGGUUAUUGUUCUGAGAGAGCUCUUUGAAGAAGUUCAACUAACUGGAC